AACGAACGCUGGCGGCAGGCCUAAAACAUGCAAGUCGAACGCCCCGCAAGGGGAGUGGCGCACGGGUGAGUAACGCGUGGGAACGUGCCCUUCAGUACGGGACAACGUCGGGAAACUGACGCUAAUACCGUAUAAUAUCUCCGGCUCAAAGAUUUAUCGCUGAGGGAGCGGCCCGCGUCUGAUUAGCUAGUUGGUGAGGUAAUGGCUCACCAAGGCUACGAUCAGUAGCAGGUCUGAGAGGAUGAUUUGCCACACUGGGACUGAGACACGGCCCAGACUCCGACGGGAGGCAGCAGUUAGGAAUAUUGGACAAUGGGGGAAACCCUGAUCCAGCCAUGCCGCGUGUGUGAUGAAGGCCCUAGGGUUGUAAAGCACUUUCGUUGGGGAUGAUAAUGACCGUACCCAAAGAAGAAGCCACGGCUAAAUUCGUGCCAGCAGCCGCCGUAA
rnacentral:rRNA from 1 species